CGAAAAUAGAGUGGCAGGUUGGUAUCUCCUGCGCCCGAUCCAGGGUUCUAUGUAUGCCGCGG
rnacentral:ncRNA from 1 species